rnacentral:rRNA from 1 species
UUGGAGGGCAAGUCUGGUGCCAGCAGCCGCGGUAAUUCCAGCUCCAAUAGCGUAUAUUAAAGUUGUUGCAGUUAAAAAGCUCGUAGUUGAAUUUCGAGACCGGUCUACUGGUCGUGCUUUUGUACGUACUGGUUUUAUUGGUUUCUCCUUUCUGACGAACUAUAAUGCCAUUAAUUUGGUGUUAUGGGGAAUCAGGACUGUUACUUUGAAAAAAUUAGAGUGUUUAAAGCAGGCUCACGCUUGAAUACAUUAGCAUGGAAUAACGGAAUAGGACGUUUGAUUCUAUUUUGUUGGUUUCUAGGAUCGACGUAAUGAUUAAUAGGGAUAGUUGGGGGCAUUAGUAUUCAAUUGUCAGAGGUGAGAUUCUUGGAUUUAUUGAAGACUAACUACUGCGAAAGCAUUUGCCAAGGAUGUUUUCAUUAAUCAAGAACGAAAGUUAGGGGAUCGAAGACGAUCAGAUACCGUCGUAGUCUUAACCAUAAACUAUGCCGACUAGGGAUCGGAUGAUGUUAAUUUUUUAAUGACUCAUUCGGCGCCUUACGGGAAACCAAAGUGUUUGGGUUC